rnacentral:rRNA from 1 species
UAGGGGAUCUUGGACAAUGGGCGAAAGCCUGAUCCGGCCAUGCCGCGUGAGUGAUGAAGGCCUUAGGGUUGUAAAGCUCUUUCGCCAGGGAAGAUAAUGACGGUACCUGGAUAAGAAGCCCCGGCUAACUUCGUGCCAGCAGCCGCGGUAAUACGAAGGGGGCUAGCGUUGUUCGGAAUUACUGGGCGUAAAGCGCACGUAGGCGGCUUUCCAAGUUGGAGGUGAAAUCCCCGGGCUUAACCCGGGAACUGCCUCCAAAACUGAAAGGCUAGAGUCCGAGAGAGGUGAGUGGAAUUUCCAGUGUAGAGGUGAAAUUCGUAGAUAUUGGAAAGAACACCAGUGGCGAAGGCGGCUCACUGGCUCGGUACUGACGCUGAGGUGCGACAGCGUGGGGAGCAAACA